UCGCGGCCUAUCAGCUUGUUGGUGGGGUAAUGGCCUACCAAGGCGACGACGGGUAGCCGGCCUGAGAGGGCGACCGGCCACACUGGGACUGAGACACGGCCCAGACUCCUACGGGAGGCAGCAGUGGGGAAUAUUGCGCAAUGGGCGAAAGCCUGACGCAGCGACGCCGCGUGAGGGACGAAGGUCUUCGGAUUGUAAACCUCUUUCAGCAGGGACGAAGCGGAAGUGACUGUACCUGCAGAAGGAGCACCGGCUAACUACGUGCCAGCAGCCGCGGUAAUACGUAGGGUGCAAGCGUUGUCCGGAUUUAUUGGGCGUAAAGAGCUCGUAGGCGGUUUGUCGCGUCGGAUGUGAAAACCCAAUGGCUUAACCUUGGGCCUGCAUUCGAUACGGGCAAACUAGAGUGUGGUAGGGGAGACUGGAACUCCUGGUGUAGCGGUGGAAUGCGCAGAUAUCAGGAAGAACACCGAUGGCGAAGGCAGGUCUCUGGGCCAUAACUGACGCUGAGGAGCGAAAGCGUGGGGAGCGAACAGGAUUAGAUACCCUGGUAGUCCACGCCGUAAACGGUGGGCGCUAGGUGUGGGGAUUGUUUCCACGAUCUCCGUGCCGUAGCUAACGCAUUAAGCGCCCCGCCUGGGGAGUACGG
rnacentral:rRNA from 1 species